AUUGAACGCUGGCGGAAUGCUUUACACAUGCAAGUCGAACGGCAGCACGGACUUCGGUCUGGUGGCGAGUGGCGAACGGGUGAGUAAUGUAUCGGAACGUGCCCAGUCGUGGGGGAUAACGUAGUGAAAAUUACGCUAAUACCGCAUACGAUCUAUGGAUGAAAGCGGGGGAUCGCAAGACCUCGCGCGAUUGGGGCGGCCGAUAUCAGAUUAGGUAGUUGGUGGGGUAAAGGCACACCAAGCCAACGAUCUGUAGCUGGUCUGAGAGGACGACCAGCCACACUGGAACUGAGACACGGUCCAGACUCCUACGGGAGGCAGCAGUGGGGAAUUUUGGACAAUGGGCGAAAGCCUGAUCCAGCCAUUCCGCGUGCAGGAUGAAGGCCCUCGGGUUGUAAACUGCUUUUGUACAGAACGAAAAGGUUUCUACUAAUACUAGGAGCUCAUGACGGUACUGUAAGAAUAAGCACCGGCUAACUACGUGCCAGCCGCCGCAGUAA
rnacentral:rRNA from 1 species